UACGGGGGGGGCAAGCGUUGUUCGGAAUUACUGGGCGUAAAGGGCUCGUAGGCGGCCAACUAAGUCGGAUGUGAAAUCCCCAGGCUUAACCUGGGAACUGCAUCCGAUACUGGAUGGCUUGGAUCCGGGAGAGGGAUGCAGAAUUCCAGGUGUAGCGGUGAAAUGCGUAGAUAUCUGGAGGAAUACCGGUGGCGAAGGCGGCAUCCUGGACCGGCAUUGACGCUGAUGAGCGAAAGCUAGGGGAGCAAACGGG
rnacentral:rRNA from 1 species